rnacentral:piRNA from 2 species
GCCGAACGUAGUCUCUCGAGAGCGA